AGUGAACGCUGGCGGUAGGCCUAACACAUGCCAGUCGAACGGCAGCACAGUAAGAGCUUGCUCUUACGGGUGGCGAGUGGCGGACGGGUGAGGAAUACGUCGGAAUCUACUUUUUCGUGGGGGAUAACGUAGGGAAACUUACGCUAAUACCGCAUACGACCUACGGGUGAAAGCAGGGGAUCUUCGGACCUUGCGCGAUUGAAUGAGCCGAUGUCGGAUUAGCUAGUUGGCGGGGUAAAGGCCCACCAAGGCGACGAUCCGUAGCUGGUCUGAGAGGAUGAUCAGCCACACUGGAACUGAGACACGGUCCAGACUCCUACGGGAGGCGGCAGUGGGGAAUAUUGGACAAUGGGCGCAAGCCUGAUCCAGCCAUACCGCGUGGGUGAAGAAGGCCUUCGGGUUGUAAAGCCCUUUUGUUGGGAAAGAAAAGCAGCAGGUUAAUACCCCGCUGUUCUGACGGUACCCAAAGAAUAAGCACCGGCUAACUUCGUG
rnacentral:rRNA from 1 species